rnacentral:rRNA from 1 species
UACGGGGGGGGUAAGCGUUGUUCGGAAUUACUGGGCGUAAAGGGCUCGUAGGCGGCCAACUAAGUCAUACGUGAAAUCCCUCAGCUUAACUGGGGAACUGCGUGUGAUACUGGAUGGCUUGGAUUUGGGAGAGGGAUGCGGAAUUCCAGGUGUAGCGGUGAAAUGCGUAGAUAUCUGGAGGAACACCGGUGGCGAAGGCGGCAUCCUGGACCAAUAAUGACGCUGAGGAGCGAAAGCUAGGGGAGCAAACGGG